AUGCUCAGUUGGGAUAACUUCAAGGAUAACUUGGAAUAACUUUCACAGCUUUGUUUAGAGUUCUUGAUGGGAAUGAGUCUACUCUAAAAGUAUUCUCUACAGUCCUGAAAGCUUUUCAGUACUGUUAAGCACUGCAAGACCUUUGCUUAAGAGGAGCAUUUCAAAUCUGCCACAGAAAGCUCAUAUUCAGUUGCUUCUCUUUAUUUGUAGAAAGCAAGAAAUCAUUUCUUCAGCUGUUCAGUGAGAAUUGCCAUGUACAGCAGUCUACCUUCUCUGAGGAGCACCUUACUGCAGAUCUUGGCAAUGCUAAUCCUGGACAAAAAGAUAUCUUAGCGCAAAGCAGAAAAUCUUCAGGAGGAUAGGCUGAGUUCAUCUCACUCCUGGUGCCCACCAUGGAGUAUGUGCACUGUUUGUAGAAGGUAAAAGGUUUUAUAUUCUCUUA
rnacentral:lncRNA from 1 species